rnacentral:rRNA from 1 species
ACACAUGCAAGUCGAGGGGCAGCAUGGUCUUAGCUUGCUAAGACUGAUGGCGACCGGCGCACGGGUGAGUAACACGUAUCCAACCUGCCGUCUACUCUUGGACAGCCUUCUGAAAGGAAGAUUAAUACAAGAUGGCAUCAUGAGUCCGCAUGUUCACAUGAUUAAAGGUAUUCCGGUAGACGAUGGGGAUGCGUUCCAUUAGAUAGUAGGCGGGGUAACGGCCCACCUAGUCUUCGAUGGAUAGGGGUUCUGAGAGGAAGGUCCCCCACAUUGGAACUGAGACACGGUCCAAACUCCUACGGGAGGCAGCAGUGAGGAAUAUUGGUCAAUGGGCGAGAGCCUGAACCAGCCAAGUAGCGUGAAGGAUGACUGCCCUAUGGGUUGUAAACUUCUUUUAUAAAGGAAUAAAGUCGGGUAUGCAUACCCGUUUGCAUGUACUUUAUGAAUAAGGAUCGGCUAACUCCGUGCCAGCAGCCGCGGUAAUACGGAGGAUCCGAGCGUUAUCCGGAUUUAUUGGGUUUAAAGGGAGCGUAGAUGGAUGUUUAAGUCAGUUGUGAAAGUUUGCGGCUCAACCGUAAAAUUGCAGUUGAUACUGGAUAUCUUGAGUGCAGUUGAGGCAGGCGGAAUUCGUGGUGUAGCGGUGAAAUGCUUAGAUAUCACGAAGAACUCCGAUUGCGAAGGCAGCCUGCUAAGCUGCAACUGACAUUGAGGCUCGAAAGUGUGGGUAUCAAACAGGAUUAGAUACCCUGGUAGUCCACACGGUAAACGAUGAAUACUCGCUGUUUGCGAUAUACAGCAAGCGGCCAAGCGAAAGCGUUAAGUAUUCCACCUGGGGAGUACGCCGGCAACGGUGAAACUCAAAGGAAUUGACGGGGGCCCGCACAAGCG